CAGUCGCCGCGGUAAUACGUAGGGUGCGAGCGUUAAUCGGAAUUACUGGGCGUAAAGCGUGCGCAGGCGGUUAUAUAAGACAGAUGUGAAAUCCCCGGGCUCAACCUGGGACCUGCAUUUGUGGCUGUAUAGCUAGAGUACGGUAGAGGGGGAUGGAAUUCCGCGUGUAGCAGUGAAAUGCGUAGAUAUGCGGAGGAACACCGAUGGCGAAGGCAAUCCCCUGGACCUGUACUGACGCUCAUGCACGAAAGCGUGGGGAGCAAACAGGAUUAGAGACCCCAGUAGUCCCUGUCUCUUAUAC
rnacentral:rRNA from 1 species